rnacentral:rRNA from 1 species
AGUGAACGCUGGCGGUAGGCCUAACACAUGCAAGUCGAACGGCAGCACAGUAAGAGCUUGCUCUUACGGGUGGCGAGUGGCGGACGGGUGAGGAAUACAUCGGAAUCUACUUUUUCGUGGGGGAUAACGUAGGGAAACUUACGCUAAUACCGCAUACGACCUACGGGUGAAAGCAGGGGAUCUUCGGACCUUGCGCGAUUGAAUGAGCCGAUGUCGGAUUAGCUAGUUGGCGGGGUAAAGGCCCACCAAGGCGACGAUCCGUAGCUGGUCUGAGAGGAUGAUCAGCCACCCUGGAACUGAGACACGGUACAGACUCCUACGGGAGGCAGCAGUGGGGAAUAUUGGACAAUGGGCGCAAGCCUGAUCCAGCCAUACCGCGUGGGUGAAGAAGGCCUUCGGGUUGUAAAGCCCUUUUGUUGGGAAAGAAAAGCAGCAGGUUAAUACCCCGCUGUUCUGACGGUACCCAAAGAAUAAGCACCGGCUAACUUCGUG